CUGUCUAACCUACAGUACCUCUACCUGUCUAGCCUACACCUGCCUAGCCUACAUCUGCCUGUCUAACCUGCCUGUCUAACCUACACCUGCCUGUAUAACCUGCCUGUCUAACCUACACCUACCUGUCUGACCUGCCUGUCUAACCUACGCCUACCUGUCUACCAAACACCUAUCUGUAUAACCUGACUGUCUGACCUACACCCACCUGUAUAACCUGACUGUCUGACCUACACCCACCUGUAUAACCUGACUGUCUGACCUACACCCACCUGUUUAACCUGACUGUCUGACCUACACCCACCUGUUUAACCUGACUGUCUGACCUACACCCACCUGUAUAACCUGACUGUCUGACCUACACCCACCUGUACAACCUACCCGUCUGACCUACACCCACCUGUACAACCUACCCGUCUGAUCUACACCUACCUGUAUAACCUGACUGUCUGACCUACACCCACCUGUACAACCUACCCGUCUGACCUACACCCACCUGUACAACCUACCCGUCUGAUCUACACCUACCUGUAUAACCUACCCAUCUGACCUACACAUACCUGUCUGACCUACACCUACCUGUCUAACCUACCCGUCUGAGCCAACUGGGUUCAUGUUGGUAUUCACUUAGAAACAUCAGAAAUUAUGAAUGAAUGAAUGAUGUAAAAAAAAAUGCAUCCUUCUUUAUGUGAAAUGUAUGUUUUAUUAUUUCACACACUCUAAAAAGGGUUAUACUGUCUGGAUGAAGGUCAGGGUUAUCACUCCAUACAUCAUAUCCUGUUUCACUCAAGUCCAUCAGUGUACAGAAGGAAAUAUUUAGUGUUUCAUUUCCUUUGUUGAGUUUAACACACUGUAUUGGUGCUCUUCGUGGUGGGGCUUAAUAGAUCAGAUUACAGCGUGAUCUGUGCGUGCUGUUGACUUUACCUCAGUGUCCGUGUUUAACCAGCGGCCCAUGUCCGGGUCUUCGACAAGUUCUCUUUCUUUAGCGAUGAUGUGAGAAUUGUUUGCGGAAGGCGAGGAUCAGACCUUGUGGUGCUUAAAGAUACAGACAAUUCACCUAAAAGGAAGUCAGCUGAUAUCUGAGCCGGGCCUCGCAUAAAACCCUGUUGUUAUCACGGACGAGUGUUCGCACCUUUCUCAAGGACCUUUGGAAAAACACACACACUGCGUUCAGCAUCUAGAAACUGUCGCUCCGACAUCACCAUAGUCACUGCUUCACCUAUGACUGUCACAAAGCCCUGACUCUGGAGACUCCUUCCAUAAAUGUUACAUAAACAAACAUCUUACAGAAAACUUCUUUUUAUAUGAAACAUCUGCUGUACAAGUUCUUGCGUAUAAGCUGUUCAUACAGAAAAGAUAAUGUAUUUGAACAAGUGCAUUAAAAUGAGUUCAUAAUGAUAUGAUAAUGUAGUUCAUGUUUGAAUUGUCUUUUGAGGCAGCUGUAAUUAUGUACACAUGCACACACAUUUUCUGCACUGUGCUAAACUGGAGGCUACAGUGUUCCAGCUUUCAGGAACACUUCACAUGGUUACUCAGGUGUGUGAAUAAUCUUUCAUCGCUACUGAGAUCCACAGUGCAGAACUCAAACUAACAUUCAAACAAACAAAACAAACUAUUACAUAACACUGACUGCGGGGGGGGUCUGAGGAGAUGUCCUUAAUCAUGUUGUUGCACUUGCAUCUCUCUCUCUCUCUCUCUCUCUC